UACAGAGGUCUCAAGCGUUGUUCGGAUUCAUUGGGCGUAAAGGGUGCGUAGGUGGCGCUGUAAGUCGGGUGUGAAAUUUCGGAGCUUAACUCCGAAACUGCAUUCGAUACUGCGGUGCUUGAGGACUGGAGAGGAGACUGGAAUUCAUGGUGUAGCAGUGAAAUGCGUAGAGAUCAUGAGGAAGACCAGUGGCGAAGGCGGGUCUCUGGGCCGAUACUGACGCUGAGGAGCGAAAGCGUGGGGAGCGAACAGG
rnacentral:rRNA from 1 species